AAGAGAUUAGUUUAACAAAAACAUUAAUAUGUCAAAUUAAAAUUACAUAAAUGUAUUUCUUU
rnacentral:tRNA from 1 species